rnacentral:lncRNA from 1 species
GAAUUUCAGCACCUUCGGCUAGUUAGCAGCCCAGCUCGUCUGUGAUUCCAGCGAGCCUUCUUGAAGAAGCCCAGUCACGUGUCUUCAGCUUAGCACUUUCAGCAAUUUUCAGCCCAAAGAGAGAGCCCAUUUUCAGUUUAAUUCUGGCCCAACAAGCAGCCCACAAUUCAGUAUUUUCAAGCCCAAGUGAUUAAAAAAGUCAGCC